GAAGUAAUUAAUAAUUGAACUUCUAAUUCAAUAAUAAAUGAAAAAAUAAAUUCAUUUUACUUCA
rnacentral:tRNA from 2 species